UCUUAGGGGCCAGAAAGAGAUCUGAAGCCAAGAAGGUGCCAGAGGAAGCCAAGAGUUGCCAUCUUGGUUCUCAGGUGGACUGCAGGGGAUGGAUGCAGGUCAGCUCGGAUCUCCCAGGGAAAGAGCUUGAGUCAGAGCAGCCAGGAGGCCAUGGGCAUUCAGCAUGUUCUUCAGACUCCUUGCUCAAAGAGGAUGCUCUACCUGCACCCUCACCUUGCCAGGCUUGCCAGAAAACAAGUUAUUUUCAGCAUCCGUGGGCAGCAAAAGGAGAAGAAAGUCAUGAGCCGGAAGGAAUGACUGCAGAAAUGAGCCCAUUCAGAGGAAGGCUGGUCCUAUGUCUCCUUGGCACAAUGUUGGGUGCCAAAGAACUUGGGAGAAGUUGUCACAAGAUAUUCUGGGGUUUUGUGGGUUCUUUCAGUAACAAUGGGAGAUUGCAUUCACUCUGAAGGUUGGAGAAAGCAACUCAGAAGUUAAUUAGGGUCCCCCCAAAGAGCUUUUGUCAUUAAGAUGGGCCCAAACCAACCCAAGUAGAUAUAUUCAAGACUAGCUUAAGAGGUGAUGAGAAGCUGGCAUCCCAUGGCUCACACCUUUAAUCUCAGCCGCUUGGGAAGCUGAAAUUUUUGGGACUAACACUGGAGGCCAGCCUGGGCAGGGAAAAAGUUCGAGACGCAUUGCCAACAAAGAUAUGGACAUAAUGGUGGGUGCCUGUAAUCCUAGCUACCAAGAAACAUAACAUAGAUGCAUCACACCCAGACUCACCCCAGCAGGAAACAAAACCCUACCUAAGAAACAACCAUUAAAAAUCAGGGUUGGAGGUGUGGCUCAGUGGUCAGAGUGAUUGUUUAAGAAGCCCAAGGCUCUGAGUUUAAACACCAGUACUGCCAAGAGGGGGGAGAAGGGGGAAGACUGAAAGAGCGCCCUAAUGAAGCAAUUUUACGUGAUGUAUUAUGUGGGACAGACAACCCUUGCUUUCUCCUCUGAUUUACAAUGAACACUGCUGGAGGAAAAAAAAGAAAGAAAUCUUUCAUACUAAAGUACUAAUGAUUAUAACAACAACAAAAAAGGUUCAUAUGAAUGACUGAUAGGAAGCUGGUCUUGAGUAAACAGAAAAAAAAAUGUACACAUGACCUACAAUGGAAGAGGUAUUAACCUUGCUUCUAGCCUACUUCAACCAAAGCUAAUAGAGGUAAUAGUCAACAUCUCCUUUGAUGGCGCUUACUGCCCAUCUAUGAAUAUUCUGAGCCCCUAGUUCUCCCCAAUAUCAUUCAUCCUGCUGAAAAGAUGAGGAAUUAGCACUUAAAAGAGGUUGGGUAAUUUGCAAAGUUUAUCUGACUGCAAGCUCUUAACCUUUGGGGUCUACCACACACCCCAGAAACCCAUACCUUACCUCUAAGGUCCUUCAAUUUCCCAUACCCCACUUACACUUUCAGAGGCUUUAUU